rnacentral:rRNA from 1 species
GUGGGGAAUUUUGGACAAUGGGCGCAAGCCUGAUCCAGCAAUGCCGCGUGCAGGAAGAAGGCCUUCGGGUUGUAAACUGCUUUUGUACGGAACGAAACGGUCCGGGUUAAUACCCUGGGCUAAUGACGGUACCGUAAGAAUAAGCACCGGCUAACUACGUGCCAGCAGCCGCGGUAAUACGUAGGGUGCAAGCGUUAAUCGGAAUUACUGGGCGUAAAGCGUGCGCAGGCGGUUUUGUAAGACAGGCGUGAAAUCCCCGGGCUCAACCUGGGGAUUGCGCUUGUGACUGCAAGGCUGGAGUGCGGCAGAGGGGGAUGGAAUUCCGCGUGUAGCAGUGAAAUGCGUAGAUAUGCGGAGGAACACCGAUGGCGAAGGCAAUCCCCUGGGCCUGCACUGACGCUCAUGCACGAAAGCGUGGGGAGCAAACAGGAUUAGAAACCCCGGUAGUCC